UUAAAUUGAAGAGUUUGAUCAUGGCUCAGAUUGAACGCUGGCGGCAGGCCUAACACAUGCAAGUCGAGCGGCAGCACAGAGAAACUUGUUUCUCGGGUGGCG
rnacentral:rRNA from 1 species